GACGUAGGGCGCGAGCGUUGUCCGGAUUUAUUGGGCGUAAAGAGCUCGUAGGCGGCUUGUCGCGUCGAAUGUGAAAACUCGGGGCUCAACCCCGAGCCUGCAGUCGAUACGGGCAGACUAGAGUCCGGCAGGGGAGACUGGAAUUCCUGGUGUAGCGGUGAAAUGACGCAGAUAUCAGGAGGAACACCGGUGGCGAAGGCGGGUCUCUGGGCCAUUACUGACGCUGAGGGAGCGAAAAGCGUGGGGGAGCGAACAGG
rnacentral:rRNA from 1 species